UACUAGUUUGCAAAUAUUUACUUCAACAACUGGAGUUCAAAUGUUUGUAUUAAGUUGUGCAAAUAACAGAUCUCUGUAACGUAUAUGGUACAAGCAAGCUUGCCAAGGGCC